UAGACAGAGGCCUGUUGGUUUGGGCACCUGGCUGUUAACCAGGGGUUUAUGGGAUCGAAACCCAUCUGUCUAG
rnacentral:tRNA from 1 species